rnacentral:rRNA from 1 species
AAAACUUUCAACAACGGAUCUCUUGGUUCUGGCAUCGAUGAAGAACGCAGCGAAAUGCGAUAAGUAAUGUGAAUUGCAGAAUUCAAUGAAUCAUCGAAUCUUUGAACGCACAUUGCGCCCUCUGGUAUUCCGGAGGGCAUGCCUGUUCGAGCGUCAUU